rnacentral:lncRNA from 1 species
GCCAUGAGGGCGGGAACCCUCGUACGCGGAAGUUCAUGAGGGCGGGACCCUCGUACGCGGAAGGUCAUGAGGGCGGGACCCUCGUACGCGGAAGUUCAUGCGGGCGGGACCCUCGUACGUGGAAGGUCAUGAGGGCGGGACCCUCGUACGUGGAAGGUCAUGAGGGCGGAACCCUGGUACAUGAAAUUCGUUCUCUUAUUUAAGAGACAAAGAACGCCCUUGUUUUUUCCACCACGUGAUGGCGCAGACAGAAGACAACCAGCAUCUAUGAACCAGGAAGCCCCCACCAGGCACUGAAUCUGCCCCUGCGUGGAUCUUAGACUUGCAGACUCCAGAACUAACCUUACAAUGUCUCUUCUCCAUUAAGAAAACCUACUUCAACAUCUCCAUUGGUUCUCAACAUAGAGAUCACAGGAAAAACAGAAACUACAAGGAGAAAUGGAAAAAGCUGGACCUUCCCUAUGGACAUGGGGAAAAGUGGCUAUCUGGAAGUCAAGGGAAAAGAGAGAUUUUUCUUUAUAAAAUAAAAGAAAUGCCUGAACCACCAAACUGGACCACAAGCUUGAUCCAAGGAUGGUGCCUGACCCUGCACAAGGAACUCUCAGGAAAGGAACACUUCAAUGAGGGUGAUAAGGAAACUGUGUAGUUUUAAGGGAGGCCUGAGCCCUGACUCAUCAGUUUGCUUCUAAGUGUUCUCUCAGCCCAUCACCAACUCAGCUUCUGACCUAAUCAACCCCCCACCCCGUGAGCCCAGCUCCUACUUUCAACCCCAACCCCAGACUGAAACCUUAGCACCUACUUUAGCUAACACCUCUAGCUCCAAACACCCUACAUCCUAUUCCAGUCUAACCUCAUCAUCAAACAUUACCUGUAUUCAAACUCCAUAUCUUUUUUUCAAAGAAGUGCAUUCAAAACCAUAUAUACACAUACAUCUUUGCUUUUACUGUAAACAAGGCAAUCGUAAAGCCAUAUGCUUUUACAUUAUAAAGUAACCUUUCGCAGGUUUCUGAUUUUCUAAAAAACAAGUUUUGUUGAAGUUUCUGAAGUAUU